rnacentral:rRNA from 1 species
CCAGCAGCCGCGGUAAUUCCAGCUCCAAUAGCGUAUACUAAAGUUGUUGCGGUUAAAAAGCUCGUAGUUGGAUCUUGGAAUGUGUUCAAGCGGGUCAGCUUCUGGCUGUGCGCUGCUUGACGUGUUCUUCUAUUUGGUUUUGGUGCGGUGCGCUUAACGGCGUGUCGCUCCCGGCCGAAACGUUUACCUUGAAAAAAUUAGAGUGUUCAAAGCAGACCUGUUUGAGUCUGAAUAUUCGUGCAUGGAAUAAUGAAAUAUGAAUUCGGUUCUAUUUUGUUGGUUUUCGGAACUCGAGUUAAUGAUCAAGAGGGACAGACGGGGGCAUUCGUACUCUGCCGUUAGAGGUGAAAUUCUUGGAUCGGCGGAAGACGCGCAACUGCGAAAGCAUUUGCCAAGAAUGUUUUCUUUAAUCAAGAACGAUAGUCGGAGGUUCGAAGACGAUCAGAUACCGUCCUAGUUUCGACUGUAAACUAUGCCAGCUAACGAUCAGACAGAGUUCUCUACGACUUGUCUGGCAGUUUCCGGGAAACCAAAGCGUUUGGGUUCCGGGGGAAGUAUGGUUGCAAAGCUGAAACUUAAAGGAAUUGACGGAAGGGCACCACCAGGAGUGGAGCCUGCGGCUUAAUUUGACUCAACACGGGGAAACUCACCCGGCCCGGACACAGUGAGGAUUGACAGAUUGAGAGUUCUUUCUUGAUUCUGUGGGUGGUGGUGCAUGGCCGUUCUUAGUUGGUGGAGCGAUUUGUCUGGUUAAUUCCGAUAACGAACGAGACUCUGGCAUGUUAAAUAGUCGCGGAAGUGCGUAUGCACUUGCCGAAUUGACUUCUUAGAGGGACUAGUGAUUUUAAUUCACACGAGAUUGAGCAAUAACAGGUCUGUGAUGCC